rnacentral:sRNA from 1 species
GAGAAUCUGGAACAUCUGAUUGACCAGAAAUUAAAAGAUUAUGAGGACCUCAGAGAAGAUAUGAGAGGGAAGGAACUUGAAGUCAAGAACCUUCUGGAGAAAGGCAAGACUGAACAGCAGACUGCAGACCAACUCCUAGCCCGAGCUGAUGCUGCCAAGGCCCUCGCUGAGGAAGCUGCAAAGAAGGGACGGGAUACCUUACAAGAAGCUAAUGACAUUCUCAACAACCUGAAAGAUUUUGAUAGGCGCGUGAACGAUAACAAGACAGCCGCAGAGGAGGCACUAAGGAAGAUUCCUGCCAUCAACCAGACCAUCACUGAAGCCAAUGAAAAGACCAGGGAAGCCCAGCAGGCCCUGGGCAAUGCUGCGGCGGAUGCCACAGAGGCCAAGAACAAGGCCCAUGAGGCGGAGAGGAUCGCGAGCGCUGUCCAAAAGAAUGCCACCAGCACCAAGGCAGAAGCUGAAAGAACUUUUGCAGAAGUUACAGAUCUGGAUAAUGAGGUGAACAAUAUGUUGAAGCAACUGCAGGAAGCAGAAAAAGAGCUAAAGAGAAAACAAGAUGACGCUGACCAGGACAUGAUGAUGGCAGGGAUGGUAAGAGGUUUUGGUAUAUUUGCUCAUUGGUAGAAAGUGAACAGUGUUUAAUAAUAAAGAUCCCCCACUUGUUGAGAA